UACGUAGGGGGCUAGCGUUGUCCGGAAUCAUUGGGCGUAAAGAGCGUGUAGGCGGCCCGGUAAGUCCGCUGUGAAAGUCGGGGGCUCAACCCUCGAAUGCCGGUGGAUACUGUCGGGCUAGAGUGCGGAAGAGGCGAGUGGAAUUCCUGGUGUAGCGGUGGAAUGCGCAGAUAUCAGGAGGAACACCAAUAGCGAAGGCAGCUCGCUGGGACGUUACUGACACUGAGGCGCGAAAGCGUGGAGAGCGAACAGG
rnacentral:rRNA from 1 species